GUUUGGUGAGUGAAAGUGUCCACUUUCAGCUCACGGAGUCCUAGCUGAGCACUGUUGGUUGUGAUAGAGACUGUAGAACACCGCCAUCGUGUGGCAGCUAGGUGUAACUGCGACCACCCGGGAACAGUCAAUUAAGGUUAACCGCAGCUACUGGGUGGUCAAUUGACAGCACAAUUGCUGCAGGGAGAUCAAUUGGAGGCACACGCCAGCUUCCCGGUGGUCGCGCCUUCGUGAGGCUUUCGGUAGUUUAACAGGGGAACACAUAGGGACUGUACAGGCAGGGAAAUAAAC